rnacentral:rRNA from 1 species
GAUGAACGCUAGCUACAGGCUUAACACAUGCAAGUCGAGGGGCAGCAUGCUGAUAGCUUGCUAUCAGUGAUGGCGACCGGCGCACGGGUGAGUAACGCGUAUCCAACCUGCCCUUGUCCACGGGAUAACCCGGUGAAAACCGGCCUAAUACCGUAUGAGGUCACAAGCGGGCAUCCAACUGUGACGAAAGGUUUUGCGGACAAGGAUGGGGAUGCGUCCGAUUAGCUUGACGGCGGGGUAACGGCCCACCGUGGCGACGAUCGGUAGGGGUUCUGAGAGGAAGGUCCCCCACAUUGGAACUGAGACACGGUCCAAACUCCUACGGGAGGCAGCAGUGAGGAAUAUUGGUCAAUGGACGGGAGUCUGAACCAGCCAAGUAGCGUGCAGGAUGACGGCCCUAUGGGUUGUAAACUGCUUUUGUGCGGGGAUAAAGUGUGGGACGUGUCCCAUAUUGCAGGUACCGCAUGAAUAAGGACCGGCUAAUUCCGUGCCAGCAGCC